CAGUCGCCACGGGAAUACGAAGGGUGCAAGCGUUAAUCGGAAUUACUGGGCGUAAAGCGUGCGUAGGCGGUUUGUUAAGUCUGUUGUGAAAUCCCCGGGCUCAACCUGGGAAUGGCAAUGGAUACUGGCUCGCUAGAGUGUGUCAGAGGAUGGUGGAAUUCCCGGUGUAGCAGUGAAAUGCGUAGAGAUCGGGAGGAACAUCAGUGGCGAAGGCGGCAACCUGGUCCAUUACUGACGCUGAGGCGCGACAGCGUGGGGAGCAAACAGGAUUAGAUACCCCCGUAGUCCCUGUCUCUUAUAC
rnacentral:rRNA from 1 species